rnacentral:rRNA from 1 species
AAUCAACGCUGGCGGCGCGCUUAACACAUGCAAGUCGCACGAGAAAGCGGGGGCAACCUCGUGAGUACAGUGGCGUACGGGUGAGUAACACGUGGGUAAUCUACCUCUGGGUGUGGAAUAACGCUGGGAAACCGGCGCUAAUACCGCAUAAGCUCGGGAGAGGAAAGCAGCAAUGCGCCGAGAGAGGAGCCCGCGGCCGAUUAGCUAGUUGGUGAGGUAACGGCCCACCAAGGCUUAGAUCGGUAGCCGGCCUGAGAGGGCACACGGCCA